rnacentral:misc_RNA from 1 species
GGCUUGCAUUUACACACAAGCUCAAGCAACCUACCCGAACUCUCGGCGGGCCACCGAUUGAGUUCCUAUUUGGUCUUGCUACGAGUGGAGUUUACCUAGCUGCCAAAUGUUACCACUGGCACGGUGCGCUCUUACCGCACCCUUUCACCCUUACCAGCCAAAGCUGGCGGUCUGCUCUCUGUUGCACUAGUCGUAGGCUCGCGCCCCCCGGACGUUAUCCGGCACUCG